UACGAGGGGUGCAAGCGUUGCUCGGAAUUAUUGGGCGUAAAGGGUAGGUAGGUGGUCUUAUUUGUCUGGGGUGAAAGCCUUGAGCUCAACUCAAGAAGUGCCCCAGAAACGGUAAGACUAGAGUCCUGGAGAGGGUCGUGGAAUUCCCGGUGUAGCGGUGAAAUGCGUAGAGAUCGGGAGGAACACCAGAGGCGAAGGCGGCGACCUGGACAGGCACUGACACUCAACUACGAAAGCGUGGGGAGCAAACAGG
rnacentral:rRNA from 1 species